rnacentral:rRNA from 1 species
AAAUAGAACUUUGCAGAGAGAGUUAAGAGGGCGUGAAACCGUUAAUUGGCAAACGAAUCGGAGCCACGAAGUCGUUUCGUUGUUGAGUCCUGCCAGGUUCAGCAGAUGUACCAAAAGUGCAUUUGUGUAUUCCUAGGUGGGGCCAACUUUGUAAGCGUACACUGCAACCAGUUAGACAAUUGGAUAUGGGCUCAGUUGUGUGUGCAGGUAUCGAGAGGGGAUUCGCUUGCGGAUAACUUCUAGUUGGGCAUACAUGAGUGAACCAUACUCCAAAUACUGACUGGCAAAAUGAAAAUCGCACCGCAAGGAGCGUUUCAAAGAAAGCACGUAGCCGCACUGGUGGCCACACGGUCGACCGUUUUGUUCAAGCUCAACAUCUUUGAAUUUGGACUUGCAUCCUACCAAUGGGGUAACUCUUGGUGCUUGUAUAGCUUCCAUCUAAUCGGGUGUUGACUUAGCGAGGCGUUGUUCGGACGUGCAACGAUAGGUUGCUGGUGCGAGUUGCGGGGCAAACUUAUUGGCAGUGAGUAGGUCGGCUUUCCGAACGACCCGUCUUGAAACACGGACCAAGGAGUCUAGUUAGGCAUCAAGUCGAUCGGUCUUGAAUAGGCCAGACUGUGAGCAUUCUUGCGAUUGACGGCGCAGAGACAAUCGUGUGAUCGUGGGUGCAAAACAGCCCUAGCGCGCAACACGUGCCUGUUCGUAUGGCAACUGUAGCAAUAAUUGCCGGACGGAGCAAAGAGAUGCCUGAUUGGUACCCGAAAGAUGGUGAGCUUGGGCAGGUUGAAGCCAGAGGAAACUCUGGUGGAGGACCGUAGCGAUUCUGACGUGCAAAUCGAUCGUCAGACCUGAGUAUAGGGGCGAAAGACUAAUCGAACCAUC